UUCGGCCUCGAUGUAACAACAUUCAUAAUUAAGUAAAUGUAACACCCUUUUCACCCCGGUUACACGUUUAGUUUUCCCUGUACGGUGGGCGCUAGAAGUGAAGAAAGAGGGGG